rfam:Triticum aestivum genome assembly, contig: Triticum_aestivum_CS42_TGACv1_scaffold_577013_7BL
AUAAUACCCCCUCCGUUCGGAAUUACUUGUCGGAAAUGGAUGUAUCUAGAACUAAAAUACAUCUAGAUACAUCCAUUUUUACGACAAGUAAUUCCGAAUGGAGGGAGUAUUAA